UACGUAGGGUGCGAGCGUUGUCCGGAAUUAUUGGGCGUAAAGAGCUUGUAGGCGGUCUGUCGCGUCUGCUGUGAAAAUCCGGGGCUCAACCCCGGACUUGCAGUGGGUACGGGCAGACUAGAGUGUGGUAGGGGAGACUGGAAUUCCUGGUGUAGCGGUGAAAUGACGCAGAUAUCAGGAGGAACACCGAUGGCGAAGGCAGGUCUCUGGGCCACUAACUGACGC
rnacentral:rRNA from 1 species